UACGUAGGGGGCAAGCGUUGUCCGGAUUUAUUGGGCGUAAAGAGCGUGUAGGCGGCCAAGCAGGUCCGCUGUGAAAACUCGAGGCUCAACCUCGAGACGUCGGUGGAAACCGUUUGGCUAGAGUCCGGAAGAGGAGAGUGGAAUUCCCGGUGUAGCGGUGAAAUGCGCAGAUAUCGGAAAGAACACCAACGGCGAAAGCACUCUGCUGGGCCGACACUGACACUGAGAGACGAAAGCUAGGGGAGCAAAUGGG
rnacentral:rRNA from 1 species